rnacentral:rRNA from 1 species
GUGGGGAAUUUUGGACAAUGGGCGCAAGCCUGAUCCAGCAAUGUCGCGUGCAGGAAGAAGGCCUUCGGGUUGUAAACUGCUUUUGUACGGAACGAAACGGUCCGGGUUAAUACCCUGGGCUAAUGACGGUACCGUAAGAAUAAGCACCGGCUAACUACGUGCCAGCAGCCGCGGUAAUACGUAGGGUGCAAGCGUUAAUCGGAAUUACUGGGCGUAAAGCGUGCGCAGGCGGUGCUGUAAGACAGGCGUGAAAUCCCCGGGCUCAACCUGGGCAGUGGGCGUGUGACUGCAGUGCUGGAGUGCGGCAGAGGGGGAUGGAAUUCCGCGUGUAGCAGUGAAAUGCGUAGAUAUGCGGAGGAACACCGAUGGCGAAGGCAAUCCCCUGGGCCUGCACUGACGCUCAUGCACGAAAGCGUGGGGAGCAAACAGGAUUAGAUACCCUGGUAGUCC